rnacentral:rRNA from 1 species
AUUGAACGCUGGCGGCAGGCCUAACACAUGCAAGUCGAACGCGUGGCGGACGGGGGAGUAAUGUCUGGGAAACUGCCCGAUGGAGGGGGGUAACUCCUGGAAACGGUAGCUAAUACCGCAUACCCUCGGAUGUGCCCCGAUGGGAUUAGCUUGUAGGUGAGGUAACGGCGCACCUAGGCGACGAUCCCUAGCUGGUCUGAGAGGAUGACCAGCCACACUGGAACGGAGACACGGUCCAGACUCCUACGGGAGGCAGCAGUGGGGAAUAUUGCACAAUGGGCGCAAGCCUGAUGCAGCCAUGCCGCGUGUAUGAAGAAGGCCUUCGGGUUGUAAAGUACUUUCAGCGGGGAGGCGUUACCCGCAGAAGAAGCACCGGCUAACUCCGUGCCAGCCGCCGCGGUAAUUC